rnacentral:rRNA from 1 species
UGGGGAAUAUUGCGCAAUGGGGGGAACCCUGACGCAGCCAUGCCGCGUGAAUGAAGAAGGCCUUCGGGUUGUAAAGUUCUUUCGGUAAUGAGGAAGGGAUGUUGUUAAAUAGAUAGCAUCAUUGACGUUAAUUACGGAAGAAGCACCGGCUAACUCCGUGCCAGCAGCCGCGGUAAUACGGAGGGUGCGAGCGUUAAUCGGAAUAACUGGGCGUAAAGGGCACGCAGGCGGACUUUUAAGUGAGAUGUGAAAUCCCCGAGCUUAACUUGGGAACUGCAUUUCAGACUGGGAGUCUAGAGUACUUUAGGGAGGGGUAGAAUUCCACGUGUAGCGGUGAAAUGCGUAGAGAUGUGGAGGAAUACCGAAGGCGAAGGCAGCCCCUUGGGAAUGUACUGACGCUCAUGUGCGAAAGCGUGGGGAGCAAACAGGAUUAGAUACCCUGGUAGUCCACGCUGUAAACGCUGUCGAUUUGGGGAUUGGGCUAUAUGCUUGGUGCCCGAAGCUAACGUGAUAAAUCGACCGCCUGGGGAGUACGGCCGCAAGGUUA